ensembl:lncRNA
CUGCCACUCACAGCAGAAGAAUAGAACACCAUGACUACUGCAGUAAACAGCCUUUAAGUAGCUCUUUGUAUAACCUUACACGCAUACUCACAGUGCAGAGCAAUGUAGACAGUAUAGGGAAAGACUGCAGACUUGAUCCACGUCUUGUGUUUUUUUUCCCUACAUAUGGGUAUUUGCUGCACCAGACACCACAGAUUAAGAGCCAGUGAUUCAGCAGUCAGCAGAAGACAAAAUGUUCUUUGAAAAUGCCAACCUACAACACCCCCGUCGCCACCACGAAUUCUUUCUGCGCACUCGACCCUACAGGGGGGAACCGCCGACAGCGGCAGGAUUUCUCCUCUACCCGGACACUCCUGCUAAGAUGGAGACCACGUCACGAGAGGCCUUCUGCUUCAGGCCCAUCCCACAGCACGACACUGGAAAAGGAGGUCACAUCGCCCAGAACUCCCAGCAGGUGUCCCACUAUUCUCAUCCCACAUCCUCACGACAAACAAGAAGAGGAAACAGCAGCAAGGACGGGGAACCAAGAGAGGACGAGCAAGAAAGCUACCAUGGUCACACAAAGUCAGCAGCGGUGAAAAAUCAACAAGACACAACGGAGAUGCAGUCUCAGUACCAGAAGGAUUUCCCUCCUCCAUCCUCCUGCCGCAGGAGGCGAACACCUGCCCUCCCGCAGCCCGACAAUAUCGGCAUCAACCCCGCCUUCAGGAUCGAGUUCAGCACGGUCCAAAGAGAGACUUACCCUGGCUGGCCCAUCCGGAAUCCCAGGGACGCUGGCAGGCUGAGAGUAGCUUCACCUGGACAACCAAACAUGAGUCUGUAACAUGCAGGAAGCAUGGGAAUCAGCAUGCAUUUGGCAGGACAGUCACAUUUUCUCACUGCUCUUGUGGCCGGUCUGGAUCUGUAUAAUAAAUGAAAACAUGUCAAAAAUAGGCC